UGCACAUCUUUCCCCCAGGGAGCAGGGAGUCCACAGGGCCUCCUAUCAGUGAGAGCCAAUUGUUUUGGAAGCCACGCCAUGUAGCUUCUGCCCCGAGCUUGGGGAAAACCAGCAUGGCGACCCACAUACCCUCCAAUGGGAAGACAGGCGCUGGGGGUGAGAGAGCGGUUUACUGUAAAGACCACUUGGAUGUCCAGCAUAAGUUGACACGGAACACAGCAAAAGUGCUCGAAAUGUAUUUGUAAUAAAGAAGACGUGGUAUACGCAUGCAAUGGAAUAUUAUUCAGCCCUGAGAAAGGAGGAAAUCCUGCCAUUUGUGACAACAUGGAUGGACCUGGAGGACAUUAUGCUGAGUGAAAUAAGUCAGAAAGAGAAAGACAGAUACUGUAUGAUCUCACUUAUAUGUGGAAUCUGAAAAAAGCCAACCUUGUAAAACCAGAGAGCAAAAUGGUGGUUUCCAGGGGCUGGUGGGCAAGAGAAUGGGAGAGAUGUUUAAGGGCACAGCCUUGCAACUAGUAGAUAAAUAAGUCCUGGAGAUCUAACACACAGUCUAGUGAAUAUAGACAACAAUAUUGUACUGUAGUCAUCAAACUUGCUAAAAGACUAGACCUUAAGUACUCCCACCACACGCGUGCACACACACACACACACACACACACACAUAAUUAUGUGACAUGAUAGAGAUGGUAACCAUGGCUACAAUGGCAAUCAUAUUCCAAUAUAUAAAUGUAACACAUCAACAUGUUGUACACCAUAAAUUUACACAGUGUUAUAUAUCAAAUAUAUUUCAAUUAAAAAAUAUUUUUUGAAUAAAUAAAUGAACAUAAAUGAA